CACACGCAGAGCCCCGCCGGGCUGUUCCCGUUUAUUGUGAAGUGCAGCGCGGCCGGCGGUGCCUUUUGUUUUUCGUUUCCUUUUUGUUUUGUGCUUUGAUCCUCCGCCGGAAGGACGGACGGACGGACGGACGGACGGACAGACGGACGGACGGACGGACGCAGCUCCCGGGUGUGCUGCCAUUUACCUGAAUGGGGGCGGGGAUUUUGGGGGGGGGGGGGUGGUGGUGUUUGAGGGGGGGGGUUUGGGGUUGGGGGUGGGAGGGGGGGGGGCCGCGGCGAGAGCCUGCCCGCUGCGGGGCGAGGGGAUUGGGGGGGGGGCGUGCAAAAGGGCGUGCAAAAGGGCGUGCAAUGGGCGUGCGGGGCGCCGAGUGAGUACAGGGCGUGGUGGGAGUGUGGGGGGGAGGGGGUGUGAGUGUCACGUGGGUGGCGCGCGUUGUGGGUGUGCUGUGGGUGUGCAAUGAGUGUGCAAUGGGUGCUGAGUGUGUGCAGUGCAUGGUGGGAGUGUGUGAGUGUGUGUGUGUCACGUGUGUCAUGUGCGUCGUGGGUGUGCAAUGGGUGUUGGGUGUGUAGUUGGUGUGCAGUGGGUGUGCAAAGGGUGUGCAAUUGGCAUGCAGUGCGUGUUCGGAGUGUCUUUGUGUGUGUCACAUGUGUCACGUGUGUCAUGGGUGUGCAAUGGGUGUGCAAUGGGUGUGCGGGGCGCCGAGUGAGCGCGGGGCGUGGUGGGAGUGUGGGGGAGGGGGGGGUGUGAGUGUCACGUGGGUGGCGCGCGUUGUGGGUGUGCUGUGGGUGUGCAAUGGGUGUGCAAUGGGUGUUGAGUGUGUGCAGAGUGUGGUGGGAGUGUGUGAGUGUGUGUGUGUCACGUGUGUCACAUGUGUCAUGGGUGUGCAAUGUGUGUGCAGGGAGCUGAGUGUGUGCAGUGUGUGUUGGGAGUGUGUGUGUGUCACGUGUGUCACGUUUGUCAUGGGUGUGCAAUGGGUGUGCAGGGAGUGGAGUGUGUGCAGUGCGUGCUGGGAGGGUGUGAGUGUGUGUCACAUGUGUCACGUGUGUCAUGGGUGUACAUUGGGUGUGCAAUGGACGUGUGGGGCGCCGAGUGAGUACAGGGCGUGGUGGGAGUGUGGGGGAGGGGGGGGUGUGAGUGUCACGUGGGUGGCGCGCGUUGUGGGUGUGCUGUGGGUGUGCAAUGGGUGUGCAAUGGGUGUGCAGUGGGUGUGUGGGGUGUUGAGUGUGUGCACAGUGUGGUGGAGUGUGUGAGUGUGUGUGUGUCACGUGUGUCAUGUGUGUCAUGGGUGUCACGGAUGUUGGGUGUGUAGUGGGUGUGCAGUGGGUGUGCAAAGGGUGUGCAAUUGGCAUGCAGUGCGUGUUGGGAGUAUGUGAGUGUGUGUGUCACAUGUGUCACGUGCGUCGUGGGUGUGCAAUGGGUGUGCAAUGGGCGUGUGGGGCGCCGAGUGAGUACAGGGCAUGGUGGGAGUGUGGGGGAGGGGGGGUGUGAGUGUCACGUGGGUGGCGUGCAUUGUGGGUGUGCUGUGGGUGUGCAAUGGGCGUGCAAUGGGUGUGCAAUGGGUGCUGAGUGUGUGCAGUGCGUGGUGGGAGUGUGUGAGUGUGUGUGUGUGUCACGUGUGUCAUGUGUGUCAUGAGUGUCACGGGUGUUGGGUGUGUAGUGGGUGUGCAGUGGGUGUGCAAAGGGUGUGCAAUGGGCGUGCAGUGCGUGUUGGGAGUAUGUGAGUGUGUGUGUCACAUGUGUCACGUGCGUCGUGGGUGUGCAAUGGGUGUGCAAUGGGCGUGUGGGGCGCCGAGUGAGUACAGGGCGUGGUGGGAGUGUGGGGGAGGGGGGGGUGUGAGUGUCACGUGGGUGGCGUGCAUUGUGGGUGUGCUGUGGGUGUGCAAUGGGUGUGCAGUGGGUGUGCAGUGGGUGUGUGGGGUGUUGAGUGUGUGCAGUGCGUGGUGGAGUGUGUGAGUGUGUGUGUGUCACGUGUGUCAUGUGCGUCGUGGGUGUGCAAUGGGUGUUGGGUGUGUAGUUGGUGUGCAGUGGGUGUGCAAAGGGUGUGCAAUGGGCGUGCAGGGCGCCGAGUGAGUACAGGGCGUGGUGGGAGUGUGGGGGAGGGGGGGGUGUGAGUGUCACGUGGGUGGCGUGCAUUGUGGGUGUGCUGUGGGUGUGCAAUGGGUGUGCAGUGGGUGUGCAGUGGGUGUGUGGGGUGUUGAGUGUGUGCAGUGCGUGGUGGAGUGUGUGAGUGUGUGUGUGUCACGUGUGUCAUGUGCGUCGUGGGUGUGCAAUGGGUGUUGGGUGUGUAGUUGGUGUGCAGUGGGUGUGCAAAGGGUGUGCAAUGGGCGUGCAGUGUGUGUUGGGAGUAUGUGAGUGUGUGUGUCACAUGUGUCACGUGCGUCGUGGGUGUGCAAUGGGUGUGCAAUGGGCGUGUGGGGCGCCGAGUGAGUACAGGGCGUGGUGGGAGUGUGGGGGGGAGGGGGUGUGAGUGUCACGUGGGUGGCGCGCGUUGUGGGUGUGCUGUGGGUGUGCAAUGGGUGUGCAAUGGGCGUGCAAUGGGUGCUGAGUGUGUGCAGUGCAUGGUGGGAGUGUGUGAGUGUGUGUGUGUCACGUGUGUCAUGUGUGUCAUGGGUGUCACGGAUGUUGGGUGUGUAGUGGGUGUGCAGUGGGUGUGCAAAGGGUGUGCAAUUGGCAUGCAGUGCGUGUUGGGAGUAUGUGAGUGUGUGUGUCACAUGUGUCACGUGCGUCGUGGGUGUGCAAUGGGUGUGCAAUGGGCGUGUGGGGCGCCGAGUGAGUACAGGGCAUGGUGGGAGUGUGGGGGAGGGGGGGGUGUGAGUGUCACGUGGGUGGCGUGCAUUGUGGGUGUGCUGUGGGUGUGCAAUGGGUGUGCAGUGGGUGUGCAGUGGGUGUGUGGGGUGUUGAGUGUGUGCAGUGCAUGGUGGGAGUGUGUGAGUGUGUGUGUGUCACGUGUGUCAUGUGUGUCAUGGGUGUCACGGAUGUUGGGUGUGUAGUGGGUGUGCAGUGGGUGUGCAAAGGGUGUGCAAUUGGCAUGCAGUGCGUGUUGGGAGUAUGUGAGUGUGUGUGUCACAUGUGUCACGUGCAUCGUGGGUGUGCAAUGGGUGUGCAAUGGGCGUGCGGGGCGCCGAGUGAGUACAGGGCGUGGUGGGAGUGUGGGGGAGGGGGGGGUGUGAGUGUCACGUGGGUGGCGCGCGUUGUGGGUGUGCUGUGAGUGUGCAAUGGGUGUGCAAUGGGUGCUGAGUGUGUGCAGUGCGUGGUGGGAGUGUGUGAGUGUGUGUGUGUGUCACGUGUGUCAUGUGUGUCAUGAGUGUCACGGGUGUUGGGUGUGUAGUUGGUGUGCAGUGGGUGUGCAAUGGGUGUGCAAUGGGCGUGCAAUGGGUGCUGAGUGUGUGCAGUGCAUGGUGGGAGUGUGUGAGUGCGUGUGUGUCACGUGUGUCAUGUGUGUCAUGGGUGUCACGGAUGUUGGGUGUGUAGUGGGUGUGCAGUGGGUGUGCAAAGGGUGUGCAAUUGGCAUGCAGUGCGUGUUGGGAGUAUGUGAGUGUGUGUGUCACAUGUGUCACGUGCGUCGUGGGUGUGCAAUGGGUGUGCAAUGGGCGUGUGGGGCGCCGAGUGAGUACAGGGCAUGGUGGGAGUGUGGGGGAGGGGGGGCUGUGAGUGUCACGUGGGUGGCGCGCGUUGUGGGUGUGCUGUGGGUGUGCAAUGGGUGUGCAGUGGGUGUGUGGGGUGCUGAGUGUGUGCAGAGUGUGGUGGGAGUGUGUGAGUGUGUGUGUAUCAUGGGUGUCACGUGCGUUGUGGGUGUGCAAUGGGUGUGCAGGGAGCUGAGUGUGUGCAGCGUGUGGUGGGAGUGUGUGAGUGUGUGUGUCAUAUGUGUCACGUGUGUCAUGGGUGUGCAAUGGGCGUGAAAUGGGUGUACAAUGGGCAUGUGGGGCACUGAGUGUGUGCAGUGCGUGCUGGGAGUGUGUGAGUGUGUGUGUCACGGGUGUCACGUGUGUCAUGGGUGUGCAAUGGGCGUGUGGGGCGCCGAGUGAGCGCGGGGCGUGGUGGGAGUGUGGGGGAGGGGGGGGUGUGAGUGUCACGUGGGUGGCGCGCGUUGUGGGUGUGCUGUGGGUGUGCUGUGGGUGUGCAAUGGGUGCUGAGUGUGUGCAGUGCGUGGUGGGAGUGUGUGAGUGUGUGUGUGUCACGUGUGUCACGUGUGUCAUGGGUGUGCAAUGUGUGUGCAGGGAGCUGAGUGUGUGCAGUGCGUGGUGGGAGUGUGGUGUGUUUAUGUGUCAAGUGUGUCACGUGUGUCAUGGGUGUGCAAUGGAUGUGCAGUGGGUGUGUGGGGUGCUGAGUGUGUGCACAGUGUGGUGGAGUGUGUGAGUGUGUGUGUGUCAUGUGUGUCAUGUGCGUCGUGGGUGUGCAAUGGGUGUUGGGUGUGUAGUUGGUGUGCAGUGGGUGUGCAAAGGGUGUGCAAUGGGCGUGCAGUGCGUGUUCGGAGUGUGUUUGUGUGUGUCAUGUGUGUUACGUGUGUCAUGGGUGUGCAAUGGGUGUGCAGUGGGAGUGUGGGGCGCUGAGUGUGUGCAGUGCGUGGUGGGAGUGUGUGUGUCAUGUGUGUCACGGGUGUCACGUGCCUUGUGGGUGUGCAAUGGGUGUGCAGGGAGCUGAGUGUGUGCAGUGUGUGCUGGGAGUGUGUGUAUGUGUGUCACGUGUGUCAUGGGUGUGCAAUGGGUGUGCAGGGAGCUGAGUGUGUGCAGUGCGUGCUGGGAGGGUGUGAGUGUGUGUGUCACAUGUGUCACGUGUGUCAUGGGUGUGCAAUGGGUGUGAAGUGGGAGUGUGGGGCGCUGUGUGUGUGCAGAGUGUGGUGGGAGUGUGUGAGUGUGUGUGUAUCACGUGUGUCACGUGUGUCAUGAGUGUGCAAUGGGCGUGCAAUGUGCGUGCAGGGAGCUGAGUGUGUGCAGUGCGUGGUGGGAGUGCGUGUGUGUCACGUGUGUAGCAGGGGUGCAAUGGGUGUGCAAUGGAGGUGCAAUGGGUGAGCUCUGGCUGUGCAAUGGGUGUGCAGGGAGCUGAGUGUGUGCAGUGUGUGGUGGGAGUGUGUAUGUGUGUGUCACGGGUGUUGGAUGUGUAGUUGGUGUGCAAAGGGUGUGCAAUUAGCAUGCAGUGCGUGUUGGGAGUGUGUUUGUGUGUGUCACAUGUGUCACGUGUGUCAUGCGUGUGCAAUGGGUGUGUAAUGGACGUGCAAUGGGUGAGCUCUGGGUGUGCAAUGGGUGUGCAAGGAACUGAGUGUGUGCAGUGUGUGGUGGGAGUGUGGUGUGUUUAUGUGUCACAUGUGUCACGUGCGUCGUGGGUGUGCAAUGGGCGUGCAAAGGCGUGGUGGGAGAGUGAGGGGGUGUCACACGCAUGUGGUGGGUGUGUAAUGGAUGUGCAAUGGGCGUGUUAGGAGUGUGUGUGUGUGUCGUGUGUUGUGUGUGUCCUGAGUGUGCAAUGGGUGUGUAAAGGGUGUGCAAUGGGCACGUAGGGUGUGUUGGGAGUGUAUGUGCGUGUGUUGUGUGUGAGUCAUGUGUGUUGUGUGUUGUGAGGGUGCAAUGGGUGUGUAAAGAGUGUGCAAUGCGUGUGCAGCUGCUGUGCAAUGGGUGUGCAAUCGGUGUGUUUGGAGUGUGUGUCUGUUCUGUGUGUGUGUCACGUGUGUCAUGUGUGUCCUGAGUGUGUAAAGGGUGUGCAAUGGGUGUGCAACGGGCAUGCGUCACGCUGAGUGUGUGCAAUGCAUGUUGGGAGUGCGCGUGCAGUGUGUGUGGUGUGUGUGUGUCACACAAGCCAUGUGUGAGCAGUGGGUGUGCAAUGGACGUGCAAUGGAUGUGCAAUGGGUGUGCAAUGGGUGUGCAAGGCACCGAGUGCAUGCAGUGUGUGGUGGAAGUGUGGGGGGAUGUGUGUCACGUGUGUCAUACGUGCCAUGUGCAUAGUGGGUGUGCAAUGGGUGUGUAAUAGAUGUGCAAAGGGUGUGCGGGCCGCCGAGUGUGUGGGAGUGUGUGUGUUGUGUGUGUGCUGUGAGCGUGCAAUGGGUGUGUAAUAGACGUGCAAUGGAUGUGAGGGUUGCCAAGUGUGUGGGAGUGUGCGUGUUAUAAGUGUGUGCUGUGGGUGUGCAAUGGGUGUGCAACGGGCAUGCGUCACGUUGAGAGUGUGCAAUGCAUGUUGGGAGUGUGCGUGCAGUGUGUGUGGUGUGUGUGUGUGUCACACGUGCCAUGUGUGAGCAGUGGGUGCGCAAUGGACGUGCAAUGGAUGUGCAAUGGGUGUGCAAGGCACUGAGUGCAUGCAGUGUGUGGUGGGAGUGUGGGGGGACAUGUGUCACGUGUGUCACACGUGCCAUGUGCAUUGUGGGUGUGCAAUGUCCGUGUCAUAGACGUGCAAUGGGCGUGCGGGGGGCCGAGUGUGUGGGAGUGUGUGUGCUGGGUGUGCGAUGGGUGUGUAAAGGGCAUGCAGGGCGCCGAGCGCGUGUGGUGCAUGGUGUGAGUGUGUGUGUGUGUGUGUGUGUGUGUGUGUCACGUGUCACGUUAGUCACACGUCACGUGUGUGGUGGGUGUGCAAUAGACGUGCAAAGGUCGUGCAAUGGGUGUGCAAGGCACUGAGUGUGUGCGGUGCGUGGUGGGAGUGUGUGUGGUGGGUGUGCAAUGGGCGUGCAGUGGGUGUGCAAGGCACCGAGUGUGUGCGGUGUGUGGUGGGAGUGUGUGUGGUGCGUGUGUGUGUGGUGGGUGUGCAAUGGGCGUGCAAUGGGUGUACAAUGGGUGUGCGUGGCACUGAGCACAUGCAAUGCAUGUUGGGAGUGUGCAUGAAGUGUGUGCAGUGUGUAUGUGUCACACGGGCCAUGUGUGAGCAGUGGGUGUGCAAUGGGCGUGCAAUGAGUGUGCAAUGAAUGUGCAGUUUGUGUGCAGGGCACUGAGUGCGUGUACUGAGUGUUCUACAUGCGUGUUGUGUGUGUCACGUGUGUCACGCAUGUUGUGUGUGUGCGCUGGGUGUGCAAUGGGCGUGCAAUGAGUGUGCAACGAGUGUGCAGGACGCUGUGUGCAUGUACUGAGCGUUGUGCAUGCGUGUUGUGUGUGUCACGUGUGUCACGCGUGUUGUGUGUGUGCAGUGGGUGUGCAAUGGGCGUGCAAUGAGUGUGCAGUGAGUGUGCAGGGCACUGAGUGCAUGUACUGAGUGUUCUACAUGCGUGUUGUGUGUGUCACGCAUGUGUCACGCGUGUCGUGUGUGUGGUGGGUGUGCAAUGGGCAUGCAAUGGGUGUGCAAUGAGUGUGCAAUUUGGGUGCAGGGCACUGAGUGCGUGCAAUGCACGUUGUGAGUGUGCAUCAAGUGCGUGUAUGUGUCACGCGGGCCAUGUGUGAGCAGUGGGUGUGCAAUGGGCGUUCAAUGAGUGUGCAAUUUUGUGCAGGGCACUGUGUGUACUGAGCGUUGUGCAUGCGUGUGUGAGUGUGCUGCGUGUGUCACACGGGCCAUAUGUGAGCAGUGUGUGUAAUGGGCGUGCAAUGAGUGUGCAGGACACUGUGUGCAUGUACUGAGCAUUGUGCAUGCGUGUUGUGUGUGUCAUGUGUGUGUCACGCGUGUUGUGUGUGUGGUGGGUGUGCAAUGGGAGUGCAAUGAGUGUGCAACAGAUGUGAGGAGUGCUGAGUGUGCGCAGUGAGUGUUGUGAGUGUGCUUUGUGCGUGCGUGUGCUGUGUGUUGUCUGAGUUGUGUAUUGCGUGCGUGCAGUGGGCGUGCAACGGGUGUGCAACGGGCAUGCGGCGUGCUGAGUGUGUGCGCUGUGUGUUGCGUGCGUGUGUAUGGAGCGUGCGGUGUGUCUCACACGUGUCGUGUGUGCUGUGGGUGUGCAACGGCCAUGCGAUUUGGGCUGUGGGUGUGUGGCGGGCGUGCAAGAGGCAUGCAGGGCACCGAGUGCACACGGUGAGUGCUAUGUGGGUGUGUCAUGUGGGUGUGGUGUGUGUGCAGUGGGCGUGCAAUGGGUGUGCAUGCAGUGUGUUGUGUGUGUGUCAUGUGUGUGGUGUGUCACACGUGUCACGUGUGCAGUGGGUGUGCAAGGGGCGUGCAAUGGCUGUGUGAUGGGCGUGCAAUGUGUGUGCAAUGAGUGUGCAUGCAGUGCAUGUUGUGUGUGCGUCUUGCGCGUGUGUUGUGUGUGUGGUUUGUGUCACGUGUCACGUGUGCAGUGGGUGUGCAAGGGGCGUGCAAUGGGUGUGCAAUGGGCGUGCAAUGGGCGUGCAAUGGGUGUGCAGGCACUGAGUGCAUGCAGUGUGUGUGUGUGUGUCAUGUGUGUGGUGUGUGUCACAUGUGUCACGUGUGCAGUGGUUGUGCAGGGGUGUGCAGUGGCUGUGUGAUGAGUGUGCAAUGGGUGUGCAAUGGGCCUGCAGGCACUGAGUGCAUGCAGUGCUGGUUGUGAGUGUGUGUCUCAUGUGUGAGAGGUGUGUAGUGUGUGUCACACGUGUCACGUGUGCAGUGGGUGUGCAAGGGGCGUGCAAUGCCUGUGUGAUGGGCGUGCAAUGGGCGUGCAAUGGGUGUGCAGGCACUGAGUGCAUGCAGUGUGUGUGUGUGUGUCAUGUGUGUGGUGUGUGUCACAUGUGUCACGUGUGCAGUGGUUGUGCAGGGGUGUGCAGUGGCUGUGUGAUGAGUGUGCAAUGGGUGUGCAAUGGGCCUGCAGGCACUGAGUGCAUGCAGUGCUGGUUGUGAGUGUGUGUCUCAUGUGUGAGAGGUGUGUAGUGUGUGUCACACGUGUCACGUGUGCAGUGGGUGUGCAAGGGGCGUGCAAUGGCUGUGCAAUGGGUGUGCAAUGGGUGUGCAGGCACCGAGUGCAUGCAGUGUUCGUGUGUGUGUCGUGUGUGUGGUGUGUCUCACACGUGACACGUGUGCAGUACGUGUGCAAUGGGUGUGCAAGUGGUGUGCAUUGGCUGUGUGAUGGGCGUGCAAUGGGCGUGUAAUGGGUGUGCAGGCACUGAGUGCACGCAGUGCUGGUUGUGUGUGUGUGUUUUGUGCGUGUGUUGUGUGCGUGCUGUGUGGCACACGUGUCACAUGUGCAGCGGGUGUGCAAUGGAUGUGGAAUGGGUGUGCAAUGGGCCUGCAGGCACUGAGUGCAUGCAGUGCUGGUUGUGAGUGUGUGUCUCAUGUGUGAGUGGUGUGUAGUGUGUGCCACAUGUGUCACGUGUGCAAUGGGCAUGCAAUGGGUGUGCAAUAGGCGUGCAAUGGGCGUGCGGUGUGCGUGUUGUGAGUGUGUGUGUGGUGUAGUGCGUGUGUGUGUCGUGUGUGCCACGCGUUUGUGUGCAGUGGGUGUGCAAGGGGAGUGCAGGGGGUGUGGGGGGCACUGUGUGCGAGUGUGUUGUGUGUGUACAGAGUGUGAGUCACAUGUGUGUCACGUGUUUGUGUCACGUGUGUGUCACAUGUGUGUGUCACAUGUGUUGUGUGCGUUGAGUAUGCUUUUAGUGUGUGUGCAAUGGGCGUGCAAGGCACCUGCAGGGCAGUGAGUGUGUCUGGUGUUGCUAUGAGUGUGUUAUGUGUGUGUCACACGUGUUGUGUGUUCUGAGUGUGUGUGCAAUGGGCGUGCAGUGCAUGUGUGGGGUGCUGAGUGUGUCUGGUGCUUGUUAUGAGUGUGUCACGCGUGUGUCACGUGUGUUGUGUGUGCUGAUUGUGCCUAUAGUGUGUGUGCAAUGGUUGUGCAGUGCGUGUGCAGGGCACUGAGUGUGUCUGGUGAUUGUUAUGAGUGUCACGCGUGUGUCACACGUGUGUCACGUUUGUUGCAUGUUGUGUGUGCUGAGUGUGCUUAUAGUGUGCGUGCAAUGGGUGUGCAGUGUGUUUGUGGGGUGCUGCACGUAUGCAGUGUCACACGUUUGUGUGUGCAACGUGUGCAAUGCCUGCAAUCACGUGUGUGGUGUGUGCAGAGGGUGUGCAAUGUGCGUGCAAGGAGCGUGCACAGUGUGCAGUCUGUGUGCAAUGGGUGUGCAAUGUGUGUGCAGUGUGUGUGCAACGGGUGUGUCAUGUGUGCAGUGGGUGUGCAACGUGUGCAGCGCGUUGGUAACGUGAGCAACAAGUGCAGUGGGUUUACAGUGCGUGGUGUGUGUGCAACGGGUGUGCAAUGGGUGUGCACGGGGAGUGCUGUGGGCAUGCACAGGGCACGGUGGUGUGUGUGUGGAGCAGGGGGUGUGCAGAGGGAGCAGUGGGUGUGCAAGAGGAGUGUGGUGCGUGCAAAGGGUCUGCGGUGGGUGUGCACUGGGCUUGCACAGGGGGAGCUGUGUGUGCAGGGGAGUGCAACAUGUGCAGUGAGUGUGCAAGAGGAGUUCACUGCAUGCGUGGGGUGAGCGGUGGGUGUGUGCGCUGUGGGUGUGCAAUGAGUGUGUGCACAGGGCGUGCAGUGUGUGUGCAAAAAGAGUGCUGGGUGUGCAGUGAGUGUGCACACAGGUUGCAGUGGGUGUGCGGUGAGUGUGCAAAGGGGGUGCAGUGCGUGCAAAGAGCAUGCAGUAGACAUGCAGUGAGUGUGCAGCGCAGUGUGUGUGCACAGAGCGUGCAGUGUGUGCAGUGGGUGUGCAACAGGAGUGCAGUGCACGCUGUGGGUGGGCAGUGAGUGUGCAAAGGGGGUGCAGUGUGUGCAAGGAGUGCACAGUGGACGUGUAAUGAGUGUGCAGUGGGCGUGCACGGGGAGUGCAGUGCGUGCAGUGAGUGUGCAAUGGGUGUGCACAGUGUGUGCAGAAUGGGUGUGCACAGGGAAUGCAGUGUGCAGUGAGUGUGCAGUGGGUGUGCACAGGGAAUGCAGUGUACAGAAUGGGUGUGCAGUGAGUGUGCACUGCGUGCCAUGAGUGUGCACAGGGAGUACAGUUGGCAUGCAACGGGCAUGCACAGGGGGUCUAAUAGGUGUGCAGUGAGUGUGCAAUGAGUGUGCACAGGGAGUGCAGUUGACAUGCAGUGUCCGAUGGGUGUGCACAGGGGGUGCAAUGGGUGUGCAGUGAGUGUGCAAUGAGUGUGCACAGGGAGUGCAGUUGGUGAGCAGUGGGUGUGCACACGGGAUCUAAUGGGAGUGCAGCAAGUGUGCAAUGAGUGUGCACAGGGGGUGUGAUGGAGAUGCAGUGCAGUGAGUGUGCAAUGGGUGUGCAGAGGGAUUGUAAUGGAUGUGCAGUGCAGUGAGUGUGCAAUGAGUGUGCAGAGGGGAUUCAGUGCAUGCAGUCGGUGUGCAAUGGGUGUGCAAAGGGAUUGUAAUGGAUGUGCAGUCAGUGUGCAGUGGUUGUGCAAAGGGAUUGUAAUGGAUGUGCAGUGAGUGUGCAACGGGUGUGCACAGGGAGUCUAAAGGAUGUGCUGAGCAGUGAGUGUGCAAUGGGUGUGCACUGGGAGUGCAGUGUGUGCAGUCGGUGUGCAAUGGGUGUGCAAAGGGAUUGUGAUGGAUGUGCAGUGCAGUGAGUGUGCAAUGGGUGAGCACUGGGUGUGUAAUGAGUGUGCACACAGUGUGUAGCGUGUGAGCACGGGAUGUGCACGCACGUUGCACCCACAAGGUUUGCACACCCGAGCAAGUGGUGCAGGUGUGCAUUAUGUGGUGCGUGUGCAGGGCUCUCACGCGUGUGCACAGGGGUGUGGGUGUGCAAGGUGUGAAUGUUUGUGCACCGGGGCAGUGUGCUUUGCACAGUGUGCUGACAGGAUGCGUGUGCAAUGUGAUCCUACUCACACGCGUGUGCAAGGCAGUCUGUGCGCAUGGCGACGCUCAUGCACGUGUGCUCCUCAUGCACACUCAUGCCACGUGCCUUGCACACGCGAGCAGUGCUCAACACAUCGCUUGUGCACACUUGCGUGUGCGUGUGCAACAGCCGCAGCACUUGCAGAGCAUGGGAGGUGGCACCUAACAUGCGUGUGCAAACAUGUUUGUGCAUACAAUGGGUGUGCAACACCAGCAAAGUGUGCAAGCGUGCUCAGGGCUGUGUACACAACACAUGCGUGAGCCUGCACGCUGCAUGAGUGUGCAAGAUGUGCAACGUCUGCUUGCACGAUGAGUGUUUGUGUGUGCAUAUAUGUACGUGUAUGUGCAAUAAGUGUGCAACACCAGCAGCACUUGCGGAGCACACAUGUGUGUCUGUGUGCUGCCACAACGAGUGUGCAAGCCUGCGUGUUGCAUGCAUGUGCCUGCACGGAUAUGCGUGUGCAAGAGGUGUGCAACAGCAGCAGCACUUGCAGAGCACACAUGUGUUUCUGUGUUAUGGCACAACGAGUGUGCAAGGCUGCGAGGUGUGUGUGUGCAUACAUGUACGUGUGUGUGCAAGAGGUGUGCAACAGCAGCAGCACUUGCAGAGCGCACACGUGUGUCUGUGGGCUCCCACAAUGAGUGUGUAAGGCUGUGUGUUGCAUGCGUGUGCCUGCAUGGGUAUGUGUGUGCAAGAGGUGUGCAACACCAGCAGCACUUGCAGAACUCACACAUGUGUCUGUGUGCUGCCACAAUGAGUGUGCAAGGCCACGUACUGCAUGUAUGUAUGUGCAUGUGCCUGCAUGGAUAUGCGUGUGCAAGAGGUGUGCAACAGCAGCAGCACUUGCAGAGCGCACACGUGUGUCUGUGUGCUGCCACAAUGAGUGUGCAAGGCUGUGUUGCAUGUUUGUAUGCGUGUGUGCCUGCAUGGGUAUGUGUGUGCAAGAGGUGUGCAACACCAGCAGCACUGGUGGAGCACACUUGUGUGUCUGUGUGCUGCCACGAUGAGUGUGCAAGGCUGUGUGUUGCAUGCGUGUGCAUGUGCCUGCAUGGGUAUGUGUGUGCAAGAGGUGUGCAACAGCAGCAGCACUUGCAGAGCACACACGUGUGUCUGUGUGCUGCCACAACGAGUGUGCAAGGCUGCGAGGUGUGUGUGUGCAUACAUGUACGUGUGUGCAAUAAGUGUGCAACAGCAGCAGCACUUGCAGAGCUCACACGUGUGUCUGUGGGCUCCCACAAUGAGUGUGCAAGGCUGUGUGUUGCAUGCGUGUGCCUGCAUGGGUAUGUGUGUGCAAGAGGUGUGCAACAGCAGCAGCACUUGCAGAGCACACACGUGUGUGAUGGCACAAUGAGUGUGCAAGGCUGCGUGUAGCAUGUUUGUAUGCGUGUGUGCCUGCAUGGGUAUGUGUGUGCAAGAGGUGUGCAACACCAGCAGCACUUGUGUGCAUGCCUGCCUGCCCACGUCUGCUUGAUGUGAGUGUGUACGUGAGUGCACACCGGCUGCGCGUGCAAACAUUGGCAUGGGUGUGCAAAACCAGCAGCACGUGCAGAGCACACAAGCCUGCUUGUGUGUGGGUGUGUCUGCGUGUGCAAAUGUUCACACGCGUGUGCAGCACCCGCCGCACUUAGGGCGCCUCGCUUGGAUCCACGUGCGUGUCAGGUGUGUGUGUGUGUGUGCGUGUGCAUACAUGCACACGCGUGUGCAACACCGACAGCGCUCACAAAGCAGAGCAGCUCCUUCCUGUCUGCUUGCACGAGGAGUGUGUGAAUGUGUGUGCACGUGUGAGUGUGUGUGCAUGUAAAUUCGUGACACACGCGUAUGCUUGAAUGUGUGGAUGGGUGUGCAUGUGCGUGUGCCCACACGUACACGCGUGUGCAACAGCUGUGCAGCACUCACAGCGCGUGUGAGCCGGCUGCUGCCUGCUGGCACCACAUACAUACCCGUGCUUGCACACGCGUGUGCAACAUGCAUAGCUAUAAGCGAGCGUGCACAUGUGUGUGCCUCCAUGUACACGCGUGUGCAACACCAGCAGCCAUUGCAGAGCAUGCAGGCCCUACUGCUGCCUGCUUGCACGUGCGUGUGUAAGCAUGCGUGCCCUCUGUGUGUGAGUGUGCACGUGUAAGUGCACAACACACACGUGUGCCUGCACGUUGCAUGCCUGUACAUGUGUGUGCUCACACGUAUGUGUGCAACAGCGGCCGUGACAUGCGCAUACCUGUGCUUGCACACGCCUGUGCAUACAUGCUGCAGGGCUAUAUGUGCGUGUGCUCACGUGCGUGUGCAACAGCAGAGCAGCACCACCAGCACUCAUAGAGCCCCUGUGAGCCAAUUGCUUCCUGCUGGCACCACACAGUUGCACAGAUGCUUGCACACGCGUGUGCAUGAACUACGGCCUGUCACACACAUGUGCAUGCAUGUAUCUGUGUGUGUGCUCACACGUGCGUGUGCAACAGCAAUCAGCAUCUGCAGCACUCAUAGCGCCCUUGUGAGCUGACGGCCGCCUGCUGGCACCACACGGUUGCACAUACACUUGCACACACGUGUGCACUCACUACGGUCUAUCACACACGUGCACACGCACGUUGUGUGCAUAUGAGUGUGCAACAGUCAUGCACUCUCAGAGCCCCUGUGAGCCAAUUGCUGCCUGCUGGCACCACACGGUUGCACGUACACUUGCACACACGUGCGCACUCACUACGGCCUAUCACACACACGUGUGCACACCUGCAGUGUGUGUGUGAGUGUGCAACAGCAGAGCAGCACCUGUAGCACUCAUAGAGCCCUUGUGAGCUGACAGCUGCCUGCUGGCACCACACGGUUGCACAUACACAUGCACACGCGUGUGCACACACUACAGCCUGUCACACACGUGUGCAUGUAUAUAUAUAUGUGUGUGCGCUCACACGUGCGUGUGCAACAGCAAUCAGCACCUGCAGCACUCAUAGAGCCCUUGUGAGCUGACGGCCGCCUGCUGGCACCACACAGUUGCACAUACACUUGCACACGCGUGUGCACUCACUAUGGCCUAUCACACAUGCGUGCAUGCAUGCUGUGUAUAUGUUAGUGUGCAACGGCCAUGCACUCUCAGAGCCCCUGUGAGCCAAUUGCUGCCUGCUGGCACCACACAGCUGCACAGAUGCACACGCGUGUGCACUCACUAUGGCCUAUCACACACGUGUGCACACCUGCAGUGUGUGUGUGAGUGUGCAACAGCAGAGCAGCACCUGCAGCACUCAUAGAGCCCUUGUGAGCUGACAGCCGCCUGCUGGCACCACACGGUUGCACAUACACGUGCACACGCGUGUGCACACACUACAGCCUGUCACACACGUGUGCAUGCAUAUAUAUGUGUGUGUGCUCACACGUGCGUGUGCAACAGCCACGCAGCACUCACAGAGCCCUUGUGAGCCGACAGCCGCCUGCUGGCACCACACGGUUGCACAGACACUUGCACACACGUGUGCACUCACUACAGCCUGUCACACACGUGUGCAUGCAUAUAUAUAUAUGUGCGUGUGUGCUCACACGUGCGUGUGCAACAGCCAUGCAAUACCCGCAUCACUCACAGAGCCCUUGUGAGCCAAUUACUGCCUGCUGGCACCACACAGUUGCACAGACGCACACGCGUGUGCACUCACUACAGCCUGUCACACGCAUGUGCAUGCACGUACAUGUGUGUGCUCACACGUGCGUGUGCAACAGCCACGCAGCACUCACAGAGCCCUUGAGAGCCUAUUGUUGCCUGCCGGCCCCACGCAGUUGCACAGACACACACACGUGUGCACUCACUACAGCCUGUCACACGCGUGUGCAUGCAUAUAUUGCUCACACGUGCGUGUGCAACAGCCACGCAGCACUCACAGAGCCCUUGUGAGCCGACAGCCGCCUGCUGGCACCACAUGGUUGCACAGACACUUGCACACACGUGUGCACUCACUACAGCCUGUCACACACGCGUGCACACCUGCAGUGUGUAUGUGAGUGUGCAACAGCCAUGCAGCACCCGCAGCACUCACAGAGCCCCUGAGAGCCUAUUGCUGCCUGCUGGCACCACGCUGUUGCACAUACACUUGCACACACGUGUGCACUCACUAUGGCCUGUCACAGACGUGUGCAUGCACGUACAUGUGUGUGCUCACACGUGCAUGUGCAACAGCCACGCAGCACUCACAGAGCCCUUGAGAGCCUAUUGCUGCCUGCUGGCACCACAUGGUUGCACAGAUACUUGCACACUAUGGCCUAUCACACACGUGUGCACACCUGCAGUGUGUAUGUGAGUGUGCAACAGCCAUGCAGCACCCGCAGCACUCACAGAGCCCAUGAGAGCCUAUUGCUGCCUGCUGGCACCACACUGUUGCACAUACACUUGCACACACGUGUGCACUCACUACAGCCUGUCACACACGUGUGCAUGCAUAUAUGUGUGUGUGCUCACACGUGCGUGUGCAACAGCCACGCAGCACUCACAGAGCCCUUGUGAGCCGACGGCCGCCUGCUGGCACCACAUGGUUGCACAGACACUUGCACACACGUGUGCACUCACUACAGCCUGUCACACACGUGUGCACACCUGCAGUGUGUAUGUGAGUGUGCAACAGCCAUGCAGCACCCACAGCACUCACAGAGCCCCUGAGAGCCUAUUGCUGCCUGCUGGCACCACACUGUUGCACAUACACUUGCACACACGUGUGCACUCACUACAGCCUGUCACACACGCGUGCACACCUGCAGUGUGUAUGUGAGUGUGCAACAGCCAUGCAGCACCCGCAGCACUCACAGAGCCCCUGAGAGCCUAUUGCUGCCUGCCGGCCCCACGCACGCUCACACCCGCGUGUGCACUCACCCGACGGCCCCUCACACGCGCGUGCAAAGCCCGGGGGGGGGGAUUUCGACCAAAGGGGGGGGUCGGGGGGGGGGAGGGGUCGGUUGCAGGUUGGCUAUGGGGGGGUUUUGGGGGGGGGGGGGGGUUUGCUAGCGCUACUGUGACGGCAUCCCUGAUCUUCGUCGCUAGUGAGAAGUGGGGCCGGGCGGCCGCGAGUCCUCGUGAGUCCUCGUGAGCUCACGCCGGCCACCCUCCACGAUUAUUUAUCCGUAUGAGUAUGAUUAGUAUCCUUAUUAUCAUUAAUUAUUAUUAUUAUUAUUAGCAUUCUUAGUAUUAUUAGUAUUAUUGCUCUGAGAGGUUUCAGUCCGACGCGGUCAUGGAGGAGAAGUUGGGCGCUCCCACAGCGCCACCUGCAGGACGGGAGGAGAAACGGCGCCCCCCCGCCCCCAUAGCGGCUCUUCCUCCUCCUCCUCCUCCUCUCCUCUCCUCGACGUCGUCGUCUGCUUCGCUCUGUGCUGAGUCCCGUUGGGGGGGUUUUUGGGGAGGGGGGUGGGGGGGGGGGGGGGUUGGGGGUCCCUCCCCUCCGCUCGGUGCUUUUUGCUUUUUUUCUUGCUUUUUUUUCUUUUCUUUUGGCUUUUUUUGUUUGUUUGUUUUUCUCUCGUUUUUUUUUUCCCUGUUUUAUUUUCUCCUUUUUUUUUUCGGUUUUUUUUUCUUCUUUUUUUCCUUCAUUUUUAAGCUUUUUUUCUCCCUUUUUAAAUCUUUUCUUCCCCUUUUCUUCUCCUUUUCUUCUCCUUUUCUUCUCCUUUUUUUCUCCUUUUCUCUCCUUUUUUCUCCUUUUCUCUCCUUUUUUCCUUUUUUUCUUCUCCUUUUCUUUUCCUUUUCUUCUCCUUUUUUCUCCUUUUUCUUCUCCUUUUCUUCUCCUUUUUUCUCCUUUUCUUCUCCUUUUUCUUCUCCCUUUUUCUCCUUUUUUCUCCCUUUUUUCUCCUUUUUUUUCUCCUUUUCUUCUCCUUUUUCUUCUCCUUUUCUUCUCCUUUUUCUCCUUUUUCUCCUUUUUUCUCCUUUUUUCUCCUUUUUUCUCCUUUUUUCUCCUUUUUUCUCCCUUUUUUCUCCUUUUUUCUCCUUUUUUCUUCUUUUCUUCUCAUUUUUUCUCCAUUUUAUCUCCUCUUCUUCCUUUUUUCUCAUUUUCUCCUUUUUUCCUCCUUUUCUCUUUCUCUUUUUCUUCUCCUUUUUUUCUCCUUUUCUUCUCGUUUUUUUCUCCUUUUUUCUCCUUUUCUUCUCCUUUUUUCUCCUUUUUUCCUCCCUUUUCUCCCUUUUUCUCCUUUAUUUCUCCUUUUUUCUCCUUUUUCUCCUCCUUUUCUCCUCUGUUUCUCCUUUUUCUCCUUUUCUCUCCAUUUUUUCCUCCUCUUUUUUCUCCUUUUUUUCUCCCUUUUUCUCCUAUUUUUGGCACCUCUUCCCAUUUUCUUCCCCUCUUCCUUUCAAAUCUUUUUUCCUCUCUUUUUUUUUCCUCAUUCUCCCCCUUUUUUCUCCUUUCUCUCCUUUUUUUCGCAUUUUUUCUCCUCCUUUUCUCCUCUUUUAUUCCUCUUUUCCUCCACUUUUUCACCUCUUUUUCUCCAUUUUUUCUCCUCUUUUCCUCCUUUUUUUCUCCUCUUCUCCUCCUUUUUUUUCCUCCUCAUUUUCUCCUUUUUUCCUCCCUUUUUCUCCUUUUUUUUCCAUUUUUUCACCUCUUUUCCUCCUUUUUUCUCCUCUUCUCCUCCUUUUUUUCUCAUCAUUUUCUCCUUUUUCCUCCCUUUUUUUCUCCUCUUUUUCCUCACUAUUUUCUCCUUUUUUCUCCUUUUUUCUCCAUUUUAUCUCCUCUUCUCCUCCUUUUUUUCUCAUUAUCUUUUUUCCUCCAUUUUUUCUCCUCUUUUCCUCCUUUUUAUUCUCCUCUUCUCCUCCUUUUUUUUCUCAUUUUCUCCUUUUUUCCUCCCUUUUUUGUCCUUUUUUCUCCAUUUUAUCUCCUCUUCUCCUCCUUUUUUUUCUUCUCAUUUCCUCAUUUUUUCCUCCCUUUUUCUCCCUUUUUCUCCAUUUUUCUCUUUUCCUCCUUUUUUUCUCCUCUUCUCCUCCUUUUUUCCUCCUCAUUUUCUCCAUUUUUCCUCCUUUUUUUCUCCUUUUUUCUCCAUUUUUUCUCCUCUUCUCCUCCUUUUUUUUUCUUCUCAUUUCCUCCUCUUUUUCCUCCCUUUUUCUCCUUUUUUUCUCCCUUUUUUCUCCUCUUUUCCUCCUUUUUAUUCUCCUCUUCUCCUCCUUUUUUUUCCUCCUCAUUUUCUCCUUUUUUCCUCCCUUUUUCCUCCUUUUUUCUCCUUUUUUCUCCAUUUUAUCUCCUCUUCUCCUUUUUUCCUCCCUUUUUUCUCCUUUUUUCUCCAUUUUAUCUCCUCUUCUCCUCCUUUUUUCCUCCCUUUUUUCCUCCUUUUUUUCUCCUUUUUUCCUCCUUUUUCCUCCUCUUUUCCUCCUCAUUUUCUCCUUUUUUCCUCCCUUUUUUCUCCUUUUUUCUCCCUUUUUCUCCAUUUUAUCUCCUCUUCUCCUCCUUUUUUCCUCCCUUUUUUCUCCUUUUUUCUCCAUUUUAUCUCCUCUUCUCCUCCUUUUUUCCUCCCUUUUUUCCUCCCUUUUUUCUCCUUUUUUCCUCCUUUUUCCUCCUCUUUUCCUCCUCAUUUUCUCCUUUUUUCCUCCCUUUUUUCUCCUUUUUUCUCCCUUUUUCUCCAUUUUAUCUCCUCUUCUCCUCUUUUUUUUCCUCCUCAUUUUCUCCUUUUUUCCUCCCUUUUUCCUCCCUUUUUUCUCCUUUUUUCUCCAUUUUAUCUCCUCCUCCUUUUUUCCUCCUUUUUUUCUCCUUUUUUCCUCCUUUUUCCUCCUCUUUUCCUCCUCUUUUUCUCCUUUUUCCUCCCUUUUUCUCCUAUUUUUUGGCAUCUCUUCCCAUUUUCUUCCCCUCUUCCUUUCCAAUCUCUCUUUUUUUUUUCUCUCCUUUUUUCGCAUUGUUUUUCCCAUCCCGUUCUGAGAUUCGACUUUGGCAUCGCGGGGGGGGGG
ensembl:lncRNA